AACAGCGGGAAAAUUAACUAUUUAUAUUUUAUUUGUUAGCUCUUUUUAUUAUUAUUAUUAUUAUUUUAGAUAGAAAUUCAGUCAAUGGGUAAAAAAAUGACUGCAAAACGCUCUGUCGAGUAGCAUCACCUGGCCAUGGCAAUGCCCUCGUGGUGCCACUGCAAAGGGCGGACACGUCGCUCCUUGCUGGAUGCUGUGCAUCACAUCCACGGGCAGAGCAGAGGAGCUUGGAGUCACAUCAUGGCACCAAAAAGGAAUAAUUUUAGAUGAAAAGAAUCCGUGCGCAGUGAAGCUCCGUAACAAAGAGAAAUGAAAUGUUUUGUGAGAGCUUUUUUGGAACAGGUAGUGAGGAAAAAAACACCGUAGGAGAGAAGAAAGCAGUGGGAGCCAUUAAGGACACAGGGGCUGAGCCAGAGGGGCUGCACGGCGCAGUGCUGGCACAUGUGGUCCACACUGCAAUGCUCUGUGUUGUGCUGCUGCAAAUAAGGGCUCAGCCCUCUGCCUCCCUCCAGCCACGAGGCAGUUGUUUCAUGGUGCACUGCUGCACAGGAGGUGUCUCCAGUGGCCAUCUUCCUGCACAAGGCAGGUUUGACACCUGCUAUAGUAAGGCUUGGAGGGGACACACAGCUCUCCUGCCUGCAGUUAUCCAUGGGCACAGCCAAGCCAAGAGACCUGAACUUUGAAGCAUAGAAUCAUAGAAUGGCCUGGGUUGAAAAGGACCACAAUGAUCAUCCAGUUCCAACCCCCUGCCAUGUGCAGGGUCACCAAACACCAGACCAGGCUGCCCAGGGCCCCAUCCAGCCUGGCCUCAAACACCUCCGGGGAUGGGGCAGCCACAGAUGCCACCCAGCCCGGCCAGCACCACUCACUCAUAUAGCAGUCCAUCAGUGCUGCUGGACAAGAGCAGAGGCAGCAGAGCACACAGCAGCAUGGCAGGGGCUGACGUCACACUGUCAUACGCUCAGCUCCCACACCGGUGGCCACGUUGAUAACGAGAUCAAAGGGAACAGUCUUGAUCAGAAUAAGAGGAAGGCCCUGUAUACAGAUGACACGAGAGGUUGGCAACCCACAUGUGAACCUUUGAAGUCAUUCUUCCCCUCCUUUUUUUUUAUAAACUAGUUUAACAUCAUUAGCUUAAGAGGUAUAAAACCGAUCGGCGGUGCGAUCUCUCCCUGCACUGUGAGCACAGAGUGUCAUCCACACGCAGACAUGCUUUCGCCAUGAAGAAAAAAAGCACUGCCAGAGAUACUCAAAAAUAAGACAAGCAAACACACAAUUAGCUCUAUGGGAUGUGAAGUUCAUUUCUCAAAUCGACAGACUUUUGUUACCGACUAUUGCCAGAUAAGUCCGAUACAUUUUCUCUUCCUAUAAUCCUUUUAACAUUUCCAUUCCCCCCUACAGACUCCCUGCCUUGAUGUUUUGUUAGGAGCACUCCCUGCUAUCUGCACACGUUUGGCCAGAUUUUUCUGACUUGAAAGGGGCACCGUAUCAGCAUUAAAUGUUCUAUGAGAGCUGAUAAAACGCACACGAGCACUUUGCUAUCUAUUAACAUUUUUGAACUGCUUCCUUCACCUGCACGGAAUAGCGAUUGAAAAGAGGGUAAGGGCAAAAAAAGGGGAAUGAGGAUAUUUAUGGCCAACUUUCCACAGCUUAUUUUUUCCACAGGCCCUUCCUCACUGCACAUGAACCAGAUGCUGCUUUCUCUGCUGGCUUCACGUUCCAGUAAGCGGUGGAAGCCAGGUCCUGCUCUGAUGGCAGCUCCUUGCCUGGCUGCACAGCGCUGCCCCCGGGACAGGGGCUGCCCAUGGCACUGCCGUGGUGCCAACAUGUGCCUGCUGGGUGCAGAACCUCAUGAGGCUCAGCACUGCCAAGCCGCACCUGGGUCACGGCAGCCCCUGGGUGUACUGGUGGAUGGCAGCUGGACGUGGGCUCUCACAGCUCAGAAAGCCAGCUGGGUCCUGGGCUGCAUCCGGAGCAGGGUGGCCAGCAGGGUGAGGGAAGGGGUCUGCCCUUCUGCUCUGCGCUGUGACAUCUCACCUGGAGAGCUGCAAUAAGGGCAGUGAGGCACUAGCAUCCAUGGAGAUGCUCAGCUCAGGCUGGAUGGGGUCUGAGCACCCAGUGGAGCUGUGGGUGUCCCUGUUCAUUGCAGGGCAGUGGGAUCAGGUGUCUUUAAGGGUCCCUUCUAAUGGUUCUAUGAUUCACCUUGGAGUAGGUGGAAGCAUUUCCACUGAUGCUACAGGAGGGGAGGACAGCAGUGCGGUGGCUGCUGGGGGCCACACUGAGUGUGGUACACGUGGACUCUGAAUCCAAGUGGCCUAAAGGUUGGUUUCCAUUGGGGCUCUCCAUCUGCUGCCCUGUGGGUGCGGUGAUGUGACCCUCAGACACCACACAGCAUGACAGCGGGAUGUCACAACCGCAGGAGAAAGCCCAGGAGGCAGAGGAGCAUCGGUGCAGGAAGGCCCACAGCAGAUUCCAUCCGAUUUGCUCAUGGAAACAGGAACAUUUUUUCCAUGCAUGCUAAGGGAAGCCGUUCUCCUGCGUGCCCGGAGCGGCGUGCGCUGGCAAUGGCCCUGCAGAGGGUGGAUGCUGCGGGCAGAGCAUGGCCAACUCCUGGCACCACGAGGGGCUGCAGAGGAGGGGAGAUGUACGAUGUGUUACAGCCUGAGCUGCUGCAAUCUGGUUCUGCAAUGUAAUCCUUUUGUUUUCUGGCCGCCCGCUAGAGCUGUGUAAAAAUGGUUGCUUGAAAACUCAACUAAGUAUGAAGUGCACUCACUGAAAAUCUCGGCGAGGAAAGGAAAUCCAAAUGUUUUGAGUUUAACUAUUAAACAUAGUUUCCAGCUAGUGUGCUCAGAAUUCGAAAUUAAACAAAUGAAAGAAACAUGUUUCAAUGGUUUUAUGUAGGCAAUAAUGUCAUUAACAGGAAAUCAAGAAAUUGGGCUUUGCAGCUGCAGCAAGAAGGUUAACCCUUCCUGUGCAGGGCGCUCACUGGGCUCUGCGGAGUGCUCUGACCCCAAUCUGCCACCGAGCAUCCCAAGCACACAGCGCUGAGCGGGCACUGCCCUGGGGAAGGCAGGAGAGGGGACAUUGGUGAUGAGCGAGUGGGCUUUCCUCAUCAGUGCAAACCUAAGCCUCAUCCCUCCACUGCCCAAUGGGUCCGCAGUUACAGCCCCAAAGGCCCUGGAGUUUCCCAUACACACACAGCUGCACAAGCAAGCCUCUUCUCUGAGCCCAACCAAUGCUGGAAACACACCAAGAGUAUCCCCACUAUCCAUCACACGGAGGGGGCAAUAAGCAAGGGAAAACCAGAAGGCUAUCUUUUUUUUUGCUAUUUAAGGCAUAUUUCCAUGAUUGGAGAUGCCCAUGCUCAAAUACACCAUGCAGGACACUGUAUGAGCCUGGCUGUGGCACUGGGAGUGCCUCAAGUCCCUCUUGGCCUUGCACCAGGGGAAACCCAGCCUCCUGCGAUGGUCUAAAUGGCUCAUGUGGGCAGUCUGCCCGAAAAGGGAUGGGAUGGGACGGGAUGCCAUGGGAUGGGAUGGGAUGCCGCAGGGCACCACAUCACAGAGUGCCAUGGGAUGCCACAGGAUGGGACUCUUUACCCUGAAUCUGCUUCUGUUACAGAGCAAAAGCAGCCAGCUGGGCUCUGGGCUGGCAUGGAGCUGGGGACAUGGAGCAGGCAGCGGUGCAUCCUGAGGGCAGCCAGCACCGCAAAGCCUGCACUUCCCAAGCAUGUUUCGUGCAGAUCCAGGUCUGCGGGCUGGGGCUCGCCUCAGGCAUUGGUAACACAUAUUUCAGCUCUGGUCCCAUUUAUCCACCCUGCCUGUGCUACUGAUAAUAGACUCAUUAAAAGCACAGCAGAAAUGCUGAAAGAGCUGCCUAUUAUUCGAGACAUAACUUAAGACAGUAACACCAGUUCCAUAGAUGUAACCAGUAUACCUUCAUCCUAUCAUUACACAGGCACACACCCAAUAUGAGAACAGAGAGCAGCUUGUAUUAAAUUGAUUUCAGUUUAUAAAUAAUGUGCAGGCUAAAAAACAAGUUACUUAAUACAUCUAAAAGUAGUUUGUAAAAUGGAGUUUGCACAAGCUCAUACUCACUCACAUCUGCUAUUGGAGUGAACACAGAUAAUUAGACUCUUAUGUGAUACACCUGACAGCAGACAAGGCUGGAAAGGUCUGUAAGGGGUGUAAGGAAAAUGACAAAAACCUGUGGGCAGGUACCUGGGGUUAAUCAGCACCCAGUCCUGUGCUCCAGCAGCUUUAGGAAAGCCGCUGUGCUCGGGAAGCACUGAGCAGCACUGUGCUUUGAGCUGCUGGCAGCCCGGGCCCUGCGGGAUGAGCUGGCGACCAGCUGCCUGUCCUGCGGUGCACUAAAUCCAUUCAUCUGCUGUGGCGGUGAUGCAGGUCAGGAAGGAAGGAUGACACCGGUAUAAAAGCUGUUAUACACUGCUAUAAAGCACUCAGAGAAGGAAUAAAAACCAAAGUGAUGUGUCUGCUGGCACUGCCCGUAGCACAGCUGUAUGGAGCACGGCCGUAGCGCGGGGCGCACGCAGCCCUCCUGCACGGGGUGCACGGUGCAUUUCUUGGCAGCAGUCACUGCCCCUUUCCUUUGGCCAUCCCCUUCAUGGGGAGUGCUUUGUGCAUUAGAUCAGGGAUCGCGUCCAGUUAAAAAUAGCCCUCCCCCGCACAAAAAAAAGUAGGCAAAGAAAAGGGCUAUUUAUACCCUGGAUCGAUUCCUCGCUCUGAUUCACCCUGCAGCCAUGGGACGGUUGUGCAAGGCGUGAGCACACGUCCUUCGGACUCCAAGCAUUUCUCAAAUGGUGAUGAUAGCCCUCAGGGUUUAUGACCAAACUGCUGAGAUGGACCUCACCUCACCUGCUCCCCCCACCCCCCCCAACUGGGACAGGGCUGCUCCUCAUUGCCAACCUCAGCCUGGCACACAGACAGCACCAGUGCCAGCUCCAAACGCCCAAAGAGAAUUGGACGCAUUGCCAAAGAGAGUGACAAAGCUCAGGGAGAACGAUCAGCCCAACCUGCCUCGGCAGACAAGCUUAAAUAUGGAUAAAGAUAGCUGGAAUAAUAUAGACACAUUUUUUUCCAUGUUGUUUUCUGUUUUGACUCCUUUUGGAUUAUUCAAAGGGAGGUGCGGGCUUUGAUCUCCUCUAUUGGCAAUAUUUUUUCAUCUAGGUUUUAUAGUUUGAGAAGAGAUGUUACAUGCUUGCAACAGAGACUAUCAAUAUGAUGUGGGUCUGAACAAAAAAACUGGUGUCAGGUUCUCCAUUUGGAGUGUUACCUCAAGCUUUGAAGUUCGUAAUGAUUCAAAAGCAUCUAGAGCUGCUACAAAUGUUAAUAAAAUUAAAGCCAUCUGAAAGUGAGGCUUGCAUGUGCCUUUGAAAGUAGGUCUGUGAUCAGUUAUUACCCUCAAUUACCUUGUUGUCCACUCUUUUAGCUCGAGGUUAAACUCUUAACACUUCGCUUUGAAGUGGUUAUCCUUUUAUCUAUGACCGGACUGAGGAAUUUAAGGGCAAUAAUCAAUGAGAGCUUCAUAAGAAUAAAGGGGAGACAAGGCGAGGGAGAGAGGUGUGAAUGUGCCCUAUAGGGCUGGAGGGGUUGUGGGGGGCUGCGGGGACGCUGUGCUCUGUGAUAUGAUCUUAGAGGGGGGAAAAAGGGGAAAGAGAGGGAGAAAAAAAAAGAGAGGGGAAAAAAAAAAAGCAGAGCCCCAGCAAUUUCCAAACCACUGCUAAAAAUAAAGCAAAAGCACUAAUUUGGGGUGGGGCAGGGAGUGGGGAGAGCACCCAGAGGUGAAGCGCUCAUCAAAGGCACGGGACACAUCGUGGGGCACAGAGAUGCAAUGGGAGUAUUGGCCUCAGUGGGGCUUUGAUGGCCACCACGGAGUGUGACAGCAGGGAUAGGGAUGGCCGUGUGCCCUGGGCCUGCUGCAUCCACUGUGCCCACAGACCUGCAGGGGGGAACCCGUGCUGGGCGUCACCCCAAAGCAGGCAGCCCCGGCUCAAGCCAGGAGGGACCUUCAUGAGAUCCCCACGGUAGGACGUGGCAUCCCUUUGUGCACCCUGAGAGGACACCGCUGUGCCACCCGGCCCUUUCCCCACGAAAAUCCAGCUUCCACCCCACCGAGGGAAAAAUGGCUGUAGCACUGCUGGGCCAAUUUUCCUCCUUUCUUUUCAAAUCCAAGGUGCCUACAGCAAGGUGUUGAAAUCCAUGUUUGGAACACUGAGCUUGGUGCGGGAUCAGCUCCAAGCGGGCUGCGCUUUGUGCAGUCCUGAGUGCAACCUCCAGCACCGCCAGGCGAGAGCUGCAUGUGAGCUCAGCAUCUCUGAGCAUCGCGCCGCUUUGCUUUGAUCCGGUGCCAGCGCUUGGAUUUGUGUGUCUAAUUUAAGGUGCUUGGGUUGGAAAACGUUGACAAUUAUUGUUACUCUAAAAUUAAAUCAGUGCUUAAUUAUCAAAAUUGAUGGUAACUCAUGGUGGCGUUUUCUAAAGAGCCUAAGGGAGUCAGAAGGAGGUUUUCAAAGGCUCGGUGGCAGCUCGAUAUCUCAGGGCCACGUCUGCCUCCUCCAACCCACGCUCUCUUACUGCCUGCCAUACCCCCAUCCUUUCUGAGGGCCUCCUGAGAGGUUCUGAGCUCUCUUUACGUUGAAGAUAGAAGGAGAGGUGGACCCAAGCCCGUGAGUGCAGACCUCAGCCUUCAGCCCUUGGCUAAAUCCCGGUGAAAAAAAUCAAUUGGCUUUGGGUGCCUAAUUCUCCCAUAAUCCUUUGGAUAAUCCCAGCUUUAGGCUCUUGGAUGCUGAUAAAAAAUAGAACAAUACAAGAAAUGUGUGCGAACAUAAUAGAAAACAAACAUACAGUUCAUACAAUUUGCAGAUACUCCAAACUUGAGAAGAAAUAGGUUUAGGACAAUAGCAAUAAAACGUUGCUCAAGAGAGAGUAAAGGCAGUGAGAUGGCGAAGCCUGGGGCCGAGAACACUGUUUCGUAAUUAAGGUAGCCUGGAGACAACGAUUGUCAUACGCAGGCAUUGCUCAAGGACCCAACCAUUAUUGCUUUCAUUAUAGUUUUUCAGGAGAG
ensembl:lncRNA